UACAGAGGGGGCAAGCGUUGUUCGGAAUCACUGGGCGUAAAGGGCGCGUAGGCGGCUCAUGAAGGCUGUGGUGAAAGUCCGGGGCUCAACCUCGGAUCGGCCGUGGCGACUCGUGGGCUGGAGCACUGUAGAGGCGGGUGGAAUUCCGGGUGUAGCGGUGGAACGCGUAGAGAUCCGGAAGAACACCAGUGGCAAGGCGGCCCGCUGGGCAGUGGCUGACGCUGAAGCGCGACAGCGUGGGGAGCAAACAGG
rnacentral:rRNA from 1 species